AUGAGUACUUGCAUCGACGGCACGCCAAAUAGACAAGUCAAGGCAUCCCUCACCAUGCUCGUAUCAUGGACAAUAUGGAGCGAGCGUAAUGCGAGAGUUUUUAAACAUAACAGCGCCCCACCGACAAUCUUGCUCUCCUCCAUCUCUACAGAGGCCAACCUUUGGAUCGUCGCCGGUGCAAAAUAG
rnacentral:rRNA from 1 species